UGGGGAAUAUUGGCCAAUGGGCGAAAGCCUGAUCCAGCCAUGCCGCGUGUGUGAAGAAGGUCUUCGGAUUGUAAAGCACUUUAAGUUGGGAGGAAGGGCAUUAACCUAAUACGUUAGUGUUUUGACGUUACCGACAGAAUAAGCACCGGCUAACUCUGUGCCAGCAGCCGCGGUAAUACAGAGGGUGCAAGCGUUAAUCGGAAUUACUGGGCGUAAAGCGCGCGUAGGUGGUUUGUUAAGUUGGAUGUGAAAUCCCCGGACUCAACCUGGGAACUGCAUUCAAAACUGACUGACUAGAGUAUGGUAGAGGGUGGUGGAAUUUCCUGUGUAGCGGUGAAAUGCGUAGAUAUAGGAAGGAACACCAGUGGCGAAGGCGACCACCUGGACUAAUACUGACACUGAGGUGCGAAAGCGUGGGGAGCAAACA
rnacentral:rRNA from 1 species